GUGGGCCCCAGGUGCCCCGGGAAAACUUGGGGGAGAAUGGGCAUCCCACCCCAGCACUUUCUAGGAAGAAGGGCAGCAUUUUGAAGGGCUGGAAGUAGAGGAAGGAGGUUGCGGGUAGAAGACUCCAUACUUUCUGUGACGCCUAUUCCUUAGGAGAGCCUUUAUAUAACCAAAGAUAUUUUUGGACCAUGAAUUCAGAAAUUCUCGGAGCCACCCAUCAGUGCCUGAGCUUCAGUGAGUCCAUAUCCCAUGUCACCCACGGCAAAGGAGACUCUAAGACUUCUGAAGAGUUUCUUGCUUCUUUCCUGUGGGGCAGUGACUCCACUUCCCAGCAGUAAUGGAAUAUCCUGAAUUAGCUACAUUAAUGUUAGAACCAUUUGGACCUCACCCAGGACUUCAACUACAUUAUGGUUCUAGUAUGUUACGUUUAUGUUCCCCUGCUUUCUACAAUCCUGUUCAAAGAGUUGCUGACUUAACCACAGAGAGGAUUCCAGAACCUGAGACACAGAAUAAACUUGAGCAAUCAUAGUCCAUCCACUUCAUUGUCUCAUCAAAAACCAAAGGUCCAGUGAAGCUCUGGAACUCAACGCUGUAAAGGAGCGAAGGAGCUUCUAUACAGAGCCUGGAUGCCUGUCUCCUUAUCCUACUUCAGUGGACUUGACUGCAAUCCGGAUUAUGCUGUUUUCUAAGCAUUUAAAAUAAAAUAAAAAGUAUAAUAGUGUGAUAAGUUCUUUCACAAAGCAAGC
rnacentral:lncRNA from 1 species